rnacentral:rRNA from 1 species
AGUGAACGCUGGCGGUAGGCCUAACACAUGCAAGUCGAACGGCAGCACAGUAAGAGCUUGCUCUUAAGGGUGGCGAGUGGCGGACGGGUGAGGCAUACAUCGGAAUCUACUUUUUCGUGGGGGAUAACGUAGGGAAACUUACGCUAAUACCGCAUAUGACCUACGGGUGAAAGCAGGGGUUCUUGGGACCUUUCCUGUUUGAAUUAGCCGAUGUCGGAUUAGCUAGUUGGCGAGGUAAAGGCCCACCAAGGCGACGAUCCGUAGCUGGUCUGAGAGGGUGAUCAGCCACACUGGAACUGAGACACGGUCCAGACUCCUACGGGAGGCAGCAGUAGGGAAUAUUGGGCAAUGGGCGCAAGCCUGAUCCAGCCAUACCGCGUGAGUGAAGAAGGCCUUCGGGUUGUAAAGCCCUUUUGUUGGGAAAGAAAAACAGCAGGUUAAUACCCCGCUGUUCUGACGGUACCCAAAGAAUAAGCACCGGCUAACUUCGUG